GGGAAGAGGAGGCAACCCUGAGAUUGCAAGAAUUGCAAGAAGCCACUAUUACCUCCAGGGCCAGCAGGGAGGGGAUUGACUCCCUGCCACUCUAUUGUGGACGGUCUUGACGUGACUGUAAAUCUGGGAAGCUGAAGAGGUUUGGGGAGGCUCCUUCCAGUAGACCUCUCCUUUCACCGCCUUGUACAGCAGGCCCGGGCAUGCGACCUAGACUCAGCCAAUUUGACGUUCUCUCCUGGGAUUAUGAAUCUUGAACCAGCAUGAAAAAAGAUCUGGGACCGGUCACUAAUUCAGAAGAGGGUAGACACAGGGCUUCCGAGCUUGGCGAGUAAGAGCCUACCUGGACAGCUCUCCUUGCUGCAGCGGGGAGGUAUGAGUUUGCAAAGCAUCUCUCAAAUGGAGUGAUUCAACUGCGUGAAGACAGCUGUACUUCCAAAUAAAAAUAUCUUCUGGAGGAAAAGAGUCUUUCUUAUAAGUAGAAUUGUCCCCCAAAAUUGUUCAGUUUUCAGAUUAUAGGGAAGGAAAUGAGCUCAACGGAAAAACCGAAAUAGACACACAUGAUUCCAGAGGAAUCUAAAGACAACGCUCAGAUCUGAGUUACCAGGCAACUCUCUCUCCAAGGAUGCCAUCAUUCUGAUUUUAUAGAAUAAUCAGGUGCCGGAAUUUCUGACUCAAGAGAUCUUGGGAUAAUAAUGAAUUCAUCUUUUAUGAUUUUAAAAAACUAUAAGAAGAAACUUCUCUCUUGCCUGGCACACACUUCACUACUUUUUCUUUCACAGUUUCUUUGUUGUGCGUCUUUAAAGCAAACAGAUCUUCACUUGUUUGGGAUGUUUUUGUUGGAUCCUGCUGAGAGUGGGGAUAGAUGGAAGACCACUCAAGACACUGCUUUUUAGCUGCUUCGGAAUCUGAUCUGAUGGUUAUUAAGAAGUUUUAUCUACAAGGAACAAAGGGAAAAUUGCACAUAAACAUCAUCUAAAACAACAGUCAUGGGACAUUCAGCCUCAUGCCUGAAAACAGGGUAAACAAAUUGGAUACAGAGCUGGACAAAGACAAAGGCACAUAAAAGAGUGUUUUCAUCAAUAUCUGAAAAAAAAACAUCCUUGCAGUAACAGUCGUCUGUUCAGGCACUUGUGUACAAAAUCUCAGAAUAGAGUUUUAGUAAAAAUUGUGUGCUAAUUUUCCAUUUUCUUUUUGUCUGUACCAUGAUAUGUUACCUUUUAUUCAUUUGCUCAUUAGUGAAAGCCUAAUUUGUGCGAGAGUCUCUGCUAGACAUGAGUCCACGCCAGUGCAAGAGUCUGCAGUCCCAGCCUCCAAGAUGCUUACCCUCCAGAGAUGGAAAGAGACAUGUCGACAGCUCUUGACCAAUGAUAUAGGACUGAAAAUAGUAGGAUCUACUGUUUGUGCCAUUACAGGGGGGCCCAC
rnacentral:lncRNA from 1 species